GCCAGUGUGGUCUAGUGGUUUGAGUGCUAGAUUAUAACUCUGGAGACUAGGGUUCAAAUCUCUGCUUUCUGCA